rnacentral:rRNA from 1 species
CCUACGGGAGGCAGCAGUGGGGAAUAUUGCACAAUGGGGGAAACCCUGAUGCAGCGACGCCGCGUGAGUGAAGAAGUAUUUCGGUAUGUAAAGCUCUAUCAGCAGGGAAGAAGAAAGACGGUACCUGACUAAGAAGCCCCUGCUAACUACGUGCCAGCAGCCGCGGUACUACGUAGGGGGCAAGCGUUAUCCGGAUUUACUGGGUGUAAAGGGAGCGGAGACGGGUGUGCGAGUCUGAAGUGAAAGCCCAGGGCUGAAACCUGGGACUGCUUUUGAAACUGUGGAGCUAGAGUGCUGGAGAGGUAAGUGGAAUUCCUAGUGUAGCGGUGAAAUGCGUAGAUAUUAGGAGGAACACCAGUGGCGAAGGCGGCUUACUGGACAGUAACUGACGUUGAGGCUCGAAAGCGUGGGGAGCAAACAGGAUUAGAUACCCUUGUAGUC